rnacentral:rRNA from 1 species
GACGAACGCUGGCGGCGUGCUUAACACAUGCAAGUCGAACGGAAAGGCCCUGCUUUUGUGGGGUGCUCGAGUGGCGAACUGGUGAGUAACACGUGAGUAACCUGCCCUUGACUGUGGGAUAACUUCAGGAAACUGGGGCUAAUACCGGAUAGGAGCUCCUGCUGCAUGGUGGGGGUUGGAUAGUUUCGGCGGUUGGGGAUGGACUCGCGGCUUAUCAGCUUGUUGGUGGGGUAGUGGCUUACCAUGGCUUUGACGGGUAGCCGGCCUGAGAGGGGGACCGGCCCCACUGGGACGGGAAUACGGCCCAGCCUACUACGGGACGCAGCGGUGGGGAAUAUUGUACAAUGGGCGGAAGCCUGAUGCAGCAACGCCGCGUGGGGGAUGACGGCCAUCGCGUUGUAUACCGAUUUCGCCUGUGACGAAGCGUGAGUGACGGUAAUGGGUAAAGAAGCACCGGCUAACUACGUG